rnacentral:rRNA from 1 species
UACGGGGGGGAGCAAGCGUUGUUCGGAUUUACUGGGCGUAAAGGGCGCGUAGGCGGCCACCGCAAGUCGACUGUGAAAAUCUCCGGGGCUUAACCCGGAAAGGUCAGCCGAUACUGCGGGGCUAGAGUGCAGAAGGGGCAACUGGAAUUCUCGGUGUAGCGGUGAAAUGCGUAGAUAUCGAGAGGAACACCUGCGGCGAAGGCGGGUUGCUGGGCUGACACUGACGCUGAGGAGCGAAAGCGUGGGGAGCAAACAGG